rnacentral:rRNA from 1 species
UGGGGAAUAUUGGACAAUGGGCGAAAGCCUGAUCCAGCAAUGCCGCGUGAGUGAUGAAGGCCUUAGGGUUGUAAAGCUCUUUUACCAGGGAUGAUAAUGACAGUACCUGGAGAAUAAGCUCCGGCUAACUCCGUGCCAGCAGCCGCGGUAAUACGGAGGGAGCUAGCGUUGUUCGGAAUUACUGGGCGUAAAGCGUACGUAGGCGGUGACUCAAGUCAGAGGUGAAAGCCUGGAGCUCAACUCCAGAACUGCCUUUGAAACUAGGUCGCUAGAAUCACGGAGAGGUGAGUGGAAUUCCGAGUGUAGAGGUGAAAUUCGUAGAUAUUCGGAAGAACACCAGUGGCGAAGGCGGCUCACUGGACGUGUAUUGACGCUGAGGUACGAAAGCGUGGGGAGCAAACAGGAUUAGAUACCCCUGUAGUCCCUGAGCGGGCUGGCAAGGCGCAU